AUUUUUAUAGUUUAAAAAACAUUACAUUUUCAAUGUAAAGAUAAAGUAAGUAUUACCACUUUUAAAAAUA
rnacentral:tRNA from 1 species